rnacentral:tRNA from 1 species
GCCCGCCUAGCUCAGCUGGUUAGAGUCUCCGACUUUUAAUCGGAUGGUCGCGGGUUCGAACCCCGCGGUGGGCU